rnacentral:rRNA from 2 species
UGCAAGUCGAACGAUGACCUCCAGCUUGCUGGGGUGAUUAGUGGCGAACGGGUGAGUAACACGUGAGUAACCUGCCCUUAACUCUGGGAUAAGCCUGGGAAACUGGGUCUAAUACCGGAUAUGACUCCUCAUCGCAUGGUGGGGGGUGGAAAGCUUUUUGUGGUUUUGGAUGGACUCGCGGCCUAUCAGCUUGUUGGUGAGGUAAUGGCUCACCAAGGCGACGACGGGUAGCCGGCCUGAGAGGGUGACCGGCCACACUGGGACUGAGACACGGCCCAGACUCCUACGGGAGGCAGCAGUGGGGAAUAUUGCACAAUGGGCGAAAGCCUGAUGCAGCGACGCCGCGUGAGGGAUGACGGCCUUCGGGUUGUAAACCUCUUUCAGUAGGGAAGAAGCGAAAGUGACGGUACCUGCAGAAGAAGCGCCGGCUAACUACGUGCCAGCAGCCGCGGUAAUACGUAGGGCGCAAGCGUUAUCCGGAAUUAUUGGGCGUAAAGAGCUCGUAGGCGGUUUGUCGCGUCUGCCGUGAAAGUCCGGGGCUCAACUCCGGAUCUGCGGUGGGUACGGGCAGACUAGAGUGAUGUAGGGGAGACUGGAAUUCCUGGUGUAGCGGUGAAAUGCGCAGAUAUCAGGAGGAACACCGAUGGCGAAGGCAGGUCUCUGGGCAUUAACUGACGCUGAGGAGCGAAAGCAUGGGGAGCGAACAGGAUUAGAUACCCUGGUAGUCCAUGCCGUAAACGUUGGGCACUAGGUGUGGGGGACAUUCCACGUUUUCCGCGCCGUAGCUAACGCAUUAAGUGCCCCGCCUGGGGAGUACGGCCGCAAGGCUAAAACUCAAAGGAAUUGACGGGGGCCC